rnacentral:rRNA from 1 species
UUAAAGUCUAACCUGCCCACUGAAAAUUUUAAAUGGCCGCAGUAUUCUAACUGUGCAAAGGUAGCAUAAUCAUUAGUCUUUUAAUUGAAGGCUGGAAUGAAUGGUUGGACGAAAUAUUAACUGUUUCAUUUUAAUUUUUUAUAGAAUUUUAUUUUUUAGUCAAAAAGCUAAAAUAAAUUUAAAAGACGAGAAGACCCUAUAAAUCUUUAUAUUUUGUUUAUUUUAAUUUUAAAGAUUAUUUUAAUUUUAAUAAAUAAAAAUAUUUUAUUGGGGUGAUAUUAAAAUUUAAAAAACUUUUAAUUUUGAAUACCAUUAAUUUAUGAGUAAUUGAUCCAUUAAUAAUGAUUAAAAAUUUAAGUUACUUUAGGGAUAACAGCGUAAUUUUUUUGGAGAGUUCAUAUCGAUAAAAAAGAUUGCGACCUCGAUGUUGGAUUAAGAUAUAAUUUUGGGUGUAGCCGUUCAAAUUUUAAGUCUGUUCGACUUUUAAAUUCUUACAUGAUCUGAGUUCAAACCGGCGUAAGCCAGGUUGGUUUCUAUCUUUAAAAAAUUAAAAUAUUUUAGUACGAAAGGACCAAAUAUUUAAAUAAUUAUAUUUUAUAUAAGAAUAUUAUUAAUAUAA